GCCUGAUUUAGACCUGGGACACCAGGUGGGUGAUUCCCCUCUAAUCAGGGCCUGAUUUAGACCUGGGACACCAGGUGGGUGAUUCCCCUCUAAUCAGGGCCUGAUUUAGACCUGGGACACCAGGUGGGUGAUUCCCCUCUAAUCAGGGCCUGAUUUAGACCUGGGACACCAGGUGGGUGAUUCCCCUCUAAUCAGGGACUGAUUUAGACCUGGGACACCAGGUGGGUGAUUCCCCUCUAAUCAGGGACUGAUUUAGACCUGGGACACCAGGUGGGUGAUUCCCCUCUAAUCAGGGCCUGAUUUAGACCUGGGACACCAGGUGGGUGAUUCCCCUCUAAUCAGGGACUGAUUUAGACCUGGGACACCAGGUGGGUGAUUCCCCUCUAAUCAGGGCCUGAUUUAGACCUGGGACACCAGGUGGGUGAUUCCCCUCUAAUCAGGGACUGGUUUAGACCUGGGACACCAGGUGGGUGAUUCCCCUCU